rnacentral:rRNA from 1 species
CACCAGGCGCGAAAACUUUACCAUUUGGGAAACCGUGAUAAGGGGACACCGAGUGCCAGCAUCAUAUGCUGGCUGCCCAGGUGUGUAAACUACACCUGUUAGCAAGGGCCGGGCAAGACCGGUGCCAGCCGCCGCGGUAACACCGGCGGCCCGAGUGGUGAUCGUGAUUAUUGGGUCUAAAGGGUCCGUAGCCGGUUUGGUCAGUCCUCCGGGAAAUCUGACGGCUCAACCGUUAGGCUUUCGGGGGAUACUGCCAGGCUUGGAACCGGGAGAGGUAAGAGGUACUACAGGGGUAGGAGUGAAAUCUUGUAAUCCCUGUGGGACCACCUGUGGCGAAGGCGUCUUACCAGAACGGGUUCGACGGUGAGGGACGAAAGCUGGGGGCACGAACCGGAUUAGAUACCCGGGUAGUCCCAGCCGUAAACGAUGCUCGCUAGGUGUCAGGCAUGGCGCGACCGUGUCUGGUGCCGCAGGGAAGCCGUGAAGCGAGCCACCUGGGAAGUACGGCCGCAAGGCUGAAACUUAAAGGAAUUGGCGGGGGAGCAC